UGCAAGUCGAACGGCAGCACGGGUGCUUGCACCUGGUGGCGAGUGGCGAACGGGUGAGUAAUACAUCGGAACAUGUCCUGUAGUGGGGGAUAGCCCGGCGAAAGCCGGAUUAAUACCGCAUACGAUCUACGGAUGAAAGCGGGGGACCUUCGGGCCUCGCGCUAUAGGGUUGGCCGAUGGCUGAUUAGCUAGUUGGUGGGGUAAAGGCCUACCAAGGCGACGAUCAGUAGCUGGUCUGAGAGGACGACCAGCCACACUGGGACUGAGACACGGCCCAGACUCCUACGGGAGGCAGCAGUGGGGAAUUUUGGACAAUGGG
rnacentral:rRNA from 1 species